CAGGGCAGCCCAAAAUGAUGGAGGCCGGGUGAGCAAGCGGCUGAGGUGCUGCAGGGAGCCUCGGAGGGGCGAAGCGGCGUGUCAAUGAGCGGUCCCAGAAGGAGCCGUGUGGCCACUGUUGGAACUGGAUACGCAUUUGAGGCGCCACAGGCGAUGACAGCCACGGUGUCUGUCUCUGGAAGGAGCAGCUGAUGAAGAGGAACCAAGUGACUGCAGGGCCGUCCUGGUUUGCCAAUGCGCGGCACGCAGGUUUUCUGCUGUGGAUGGUUCCAGAUGCCCGGCCCUCUGAAAGCUAAGGCACAAGCUUUAGCGUGGCAACAUGUAAAUGGCAGAGGGGGCAAGGACAAGUGGCUGAGGUGCCGCAGGGAGCCUCGGAGGGGCAAAGCCAUAUGCCGAUGAGCGGUCCGAGAAGGUGCUGUGUGGCCACGUUUGGAACUGGAUGCCCGUUUGAGUAUUUUAAUUGUCGGUGAUGAAGAGGAACCAGUCAGCAUCUUCUGUUGCAGAUGGUUCUAGAUCCUUGGCCCUCCUAAAGCUAAGUUGAGGGACUGCAGCUGGGGAGGGAGUGGGAUGAGGUUGGGAGUUGCAGGGGAGGGGUUUUAAAGUUUAGUGUAGGGGAGAGGGCUGACCAGGAGCUGUCCCCUUUGGGCAGGCAAAGGGAGCAGGUUACUUGUCAGCACUGUGCUAGACUGUGCUGGGCAGGGCAGUUCCAGCCUGUGUCUGUGGCAUGUUUGUUGUGUGUCUUGUCUUCUGUGUCUUAGCCCUUCCUCUGGUCUCAAUGCCCUAUUUGUGAUCAAGGGGCAUGGCAUGCUUCUCAGGUGCCAUCGCUAGGAUCUCAAAUGCCCAUACUCAUCGGCAUAGUGCCAAUUGGGUGCUUCUUUGAUUGCAUAGCCAGCCUUACAGCCUGGAUGGAUCUUGUGUCUCAGAAGUUUUUGGUGGGUCUUCUUUUUGCAGCCUCUUUGCAUGCUGCGUCAGGAGAGCUGACAUUUACAGCCAUCCAUUUUAACAGAAUGGGGCUUCCUCCCUGCAUCCUUACAUUCUUAGGUCUUGAACACAGGCUUCUUGCCACCUCUGUCCUGUUGUUUUUGACGGUAACUUCUUAUAAUGGGCCAUUACAGUCCAUCCUUUUCUGGCAUUGCUAUAGGGCUUGCUGGCCUGGGUGUUGUACUCUGUAGGUAGUCUUGCUCGGCAGUGUCUCUGGUCAGGCAGUCCUUCUUGCUGAGAGUUUUCUCUCCUCAUCCUUGAGUCACAUUCUUUAUAGCGUUGGUCUUCGCAUGCGUUGUGGUGGGUUGACCCUGGCUGGGGGCCAGGUGCCCACCAGAGCUGCUCUCUCACUUCCCUCAUUCACCAAACAGGGGAGAAAAGGCAUAACGAAAUGCUUGUAGGUUGAGAUAAGGACAGGGAGAGAUCACUCACUAAUUAUCAUCAUGAGCAAAACAGACCAAACUUAGAGAGGGAAUUCAUCUAAUUUAUUACUAGGCAAAACAGAGUAGAGGAAUGAGAAAAUAAAAUCAACUCUUAAAACACUUCCCCCCACCCCUCCCAUCUUCCCGGGCUCAACUUCACUCCCGGCUUCAACCUUCCCCCCCUCAGUGGCACAGGGGGACGGGGAAUGGGGGUUACGGUCAGUUCAUCUCAUGGUGUUUCUGCCGCUUCUUCAUCCUCAGGGGGAGGACUCCUCUCAUCGUUCCCCUGCUCCAGCAUGGAGUCCCUCUCAUGGGGUGCAGACCUUCAGGAGCAAACUGCUCCAGCGUGGGGUCCCAAGUCCUGCCAGCAAACCUGCCCUGGCGUGGGCUCCCCUCUUCACGGGUCCACCGGUCCGGCCUGGAACUUGCUCCAGCGUGGGCUUCCCACGGGCCGCAGCUUCCUUCAGGUGUCUCCACCUGCUCCGGUGUGGGGUCCUCCACGGGCUGCAGGUGGAAUCGCUACACCCCCUCAUCCUUCCUCCAUGGGCUGCAGGGGGACAGCCUGCUUCACCAUGGUCUUCACCACGGGCUGCAGGGGGAUCUCUGCUCCGGCACCUGGAGCUCCUCCUCCCCCUCCAUCUGCACUGACCUUGGUGUCUGCAGAGUUUCUUACAUCUUCUCACUCCUCUCUCCGGCUGCAAAAGCUCUCUCUCUCUAAGUGUUUUUCUUCUUAAAUAUGUUAUCACAGAGGCACUGAUUGGCUUGGCCUUGGCCAGCGGCGGGCCUGUCUUAGAGCUGGCUGGCAUUGGCUCUGUCAGACACGGGGAGCUUCUAGCAGCUUCUCACAGAAGCCACCCCUGUAGCCCCCCCGCUACCACAACCUUGCCAUGCCAACCCAACACAUGCGUGCAUUUUGUCGUGGAGCUGCUCUGCCCUGGGUUGUUGAGUCAGGGUUAGGUGGAAUAGCCAUAAGAGUGUAGGGUUAGUAUGUUGAUAUGCCCAGACUGCUUGGGCAAAGGUUGUGUAGUUGCCUCAGAUGGAGUAGCUGUUGCCAGGCUGUGUUGGAGAGUCAUUUCCAUAGUGGUCUGUGGACAUGAUGGGAGCUGCCUGGGAGGGGCUAUUCAGGGGUGAUAAAAGCAGAUUGACUCUCAAAGGGGUGAAAGGCCUGUCUGUGUGGGGCUGAAAGUUUGGGGUUUUUUUCUUCUAAUUGCAGUGUGUAGUUGGACUGUAGAUGCCAUUUGAAAUUGUUCAGCUAUUGCUCUGCAUCCUGGUGCGUUCUUGUUAUGGUUUAGCCCCAGCUGGUAGCUGAGCACCAUGUGAUUUUUUUUUUUUUUUUUUAGGUGCACAGCAGGGAAAAGUACCCAUGCACCUCUUUGUGGCACCCCAGCCAGAUAAUUGGGGUGCAAAGUAAUGAAAUGUGCCUGUGUGCCCCUUUCCAAGGUGCCCCAGCCAGAAAUUGGGGCACACCAGCUCAAAAUCAAGGUGUUGCCACAAAUAUAGAUUUUGUUAUGUGGUUUUAAUUUAGUAGCAAUCAGGACUUAUUAAUAUUUUUGGGACAGAUAACAGUAUUAGCUUACAUAAUUAUUAAUGGCACUUAAUCAUCAGCUAGUCUAACUAUGCUUUUCAAUGGAAUUUUUUACAAUCAAAACAGUGAGUUAGUUAAAAAUUUGAGCAGGGCUAGGGUGACCCAAAACUUACAGCAGGGUUGCAUGCACAGAUGGGGGUUAAAUCAAAUCACACGUCUAGACAGGCUGACAAACAAUCCUGGAUUGUUACAGGCACACAGACAGGCAAAUAGUUUUUAACCAAACUGUACAGGCACACACACACGUGGAGCUUGAUGUACGAAUAAAAUUUCCAAUUUCAUGACACACUCACUUCUAUGUGCUGGCAUUUGUCAAAGGGUAAUUAGCAAAUCCUGCAAAAUCGGGCCUUUGAGUCCUUACAAAACCAUGGAUGCAUGAUCUUUGAAUCCUCUUGAAAUCUCCCCUGCGAGGUCUUCCAGCUCAGGGGAGAUCCUGGCUCACACAGUCCACCGCUGUCACAGAGAACCCAAAGGUCUUACUUUUGGAUCAUAAGAUGAUUGUGAGAGCAUCGCAUUGAGCAGGUCUGUCACAUCCCCUAUCAUGCACCAGCCUCUGGGAACAUCCGACGAUAAGAUGGACUGCUAAAGACUACUCUGAGAGCAAUGGGUAGUGGGACCCUCAAACACUAGGAGACACAUUUAGCAAAGGGCACCUGGUUAGACAAUGACAGGGGAUCUGCCAAUCGAGCUGGCCCUGCCCAAUAUAAACUUCCAUGUACUGUACAAGGAGAUAAAAGUCCCCCACAGUGCGUAUGAAGAAUAGAUUUGGGAAGAUAGUCUGGGUUAGCCCUGCUUCGGACAAAAACAAACCCAUCUGUGAGAUUGCUUUUGCUCAGGGACCUGGGUGCACUCGGUGGGUGAUACAAAAGGAUGGGGCGGUCGAAUGUGUAUCUCAAGGGGAUCUGAUUUUGGGUGUGAAUAGCCAAUAAAUUAAAUUGCAUGAUGUGAAUUGCUAAAUAACUCUACUAUCAUAUGUCAUAGCUACUACAAUUGCUAUAUGCUCUAUCCACAGUAUUACCACAAGAAUCACCCAAAUUAAUGAAGGAUGAACUUUGCUCAGUUUCAUCAAAGCAUAGCAAUGAUGGAACUAGAACUGACUUCAGUGACUGGCGCUCAGCAAGUUCCUUGAAAUCAACAACUUCGAGGCUCAGACCCUGAGCAUGGACCACACCAGCUAUGCCAGAUGUGAGCUCCAGAAGCAGCCACAACACUCCAACAGUCUACAGCCUUGCUCCUGACCUGAGAGACUGUUAGAGCAGAUGGAGCUCCAAGUCAUGGACUAAAUGAACUCAAUGGACAUUUUAGAGGCAUGGCCCAUAGCCUAAGUGAAUGAUAUCUGUGUGUCUAACUUUUUUUAUAUAUAUGUAAAAGAGAAGGAAAGUGGUGGUGAUUAAUUGGAAUUGUUGGAUGAGGGCAGGAUGUAGAUGGUUUAGAAUAAAGGGUGGAUAAUAUCUGGUUUUGGCUGGGAUAGAGUUACAUUUCACCAGAAGGGAAGGGGCAGGGCAGCUAUUUGUGUAGCCACUGAGGAUGGGGCUGGCCCUCCUGCACCAAGGGCUGUGGCUGGGGAGGGGGUCGCCUGUGCUUGCCUAGCCUCGGGAGCUCACGUAAGAGAGAAACAAAGGGGCUGUCACAGACAGCUGCCUCUGACAAGGAACAGCCAGUCCCUGCAGCGAGGAAGGAUCCCUCCCAGCGUUCCCCAACAAGGGUCCACCAUAAGCACACAGCACCAGGAGUUUGGUGCCUCAGGCAGCCGCGUGUGUGAGCUGCUGUGCGUCCAGGAAGCCUGGUGGGAGAGGAGCGGCGAGGUACCCGCCACCUGCUCCCGGGUAGGCGAGCAUCAGGUAGCCAGCAGUGCAGAGGAGGCAACGCCACCAGUUGCCAGCAGCGCACUGUUGUGCAUUCUGGCGGUGACCGGUUGUCGCUGUGGAGGGGAAAUGUGCAGUAGAUGUAUGUGGCACAGCGGCUGAACGAUGCGGUGGGGUGAUGCUCUGGUAGCACCUGGCCAGUGCUGUUGGACCUACCCCUGGACAACUGUAUCCUGCAGCAGGGUGGAAAGGGGGAGAA